rnacentral:rRNA from 1 species
GACGAACGCUGGCGGCGUGCUUAACACGUGCAAGUCGUACGGUAAGGCCCUUUCGGGGGUACACGAGUGGCGAACGGGUGAGUAACACGUGAGUAACCUUCCCACAACUAUGGGAUAACGCUAGGAAACUGGUGCCAAUACUGGAUAUGUGCUCCUGCUGCAUGGUGGGGGUUGGAAAGCUCCGGCGGUUGUGGAUGGACUCGCGGCCUAUCUGCUUGUUGGUGGGGUAGUGGCCUACCAAGGCGGCGACGGGUAGCCGGCCUGAGAGGGUGACCGGCCACAUUGGGACUGAGAUACGGCCCAGACUCCUACGGGAGGCAGCAGUGGGGAAUAUUGCACAAUGGGCGCAAGCCUGAUGCAGCAACGCCGCGUGCGGGAUGACGGCCUUCGGGUUGUAAACCGCUUUCAGCAGGGACGAAGCUUUUUGUGACGGUACCUGCAGAAGAAGCACCGGCUAACUACGUG